AAUUUCUAUACUGCCUUUGCCUGUCCAGCCUGGAAUAACAAGGAUGUGUAGGGUUAUUAAAUUCCUGUGCUGAAUGGCAUUUUACUUGGGCAUGGAAGGAACAGAAGAAAUCCCAGUCUGUGCAGGGGGAAUUUGUAUUUUGAAAUGUUCCCAGCUGCAGAUCUGCUUCCCUUGCUGCCGUUGAUCUCAUUUGGGAAGUGAUGGAUGUUGGAAGAGAGAACGGAAUACAAAGAAGGGGAUUCUAAGGACCUUUCUCCUUCUUAAUAAAACAAAACAAAAUAUACCAUGGCAACAA